AUUGAACGCUGGCGGCAGGCCUAACACAUGCAAGUCGAGCGGAUGAGAGGAGCUUGCUUCUCGAUUCAGCGGCGGACGGGUGAGUAAUGCCUAGGAAUCUGCCUGGUAGUGGGGGACAACGUUUCGAAAGGAACGCUAAUACCGCAUACGUCCUACGGGAGAAAGCAGGGGACCUUCGGGCCUUGCGCUAUCAGAUGAGCCUGGGUCGGAUUAGCUAGUUGGUGAGGUAAUGGCUCACCAAGGCGACGAUCCGUAACUGGUCUGAGAGGAUGAUCAGUCACACUGGAACUGAGACACGGUCCUGACUCCUACGGGAGGCAGCAGUGGGGAAUAUUGGACAAUGGGCGAAAGCCUGACCCAGCCAUGCCGCGUGUGUGAAGAAGGUCUUCGGAUUGUAAAGCACUUUAAGUUGGGAGGAAGGGUUGUAGAUUAAUACUCUGCAAUUUUGACGUUACCGACAGAAUAAGCACCGGCUAACUCUGUGCCAGCCGCCGCAGUAAAAC
rnacentral:rRNA from 1 species